rnacentral:rRNA from 1 species
CCUACGGGUGGCUGCAGUGGGGGGUAUUGCACAAUGGUGGAAACACUGAUGCAGCGACGCCGCGUGUUGGAAGACGGUCCUCUGGAUUGUAAACCACUUUCCCCAGGGACGAAGAUGACGGUACCUGGGGAGGAAGCUCCGGCAAACAACGUGCCAGCAGCCGCGGUAAUACGUAGGGAGCGAGCGUUGGCCGGAAUUACUGGGGGUAAGGGGAGCGUAGGCGGGGAUGCAAGUUGGGUGUCAAAACUACCGGCUCAACUGGUAGUCGCACUCAAAACUGCAGGUCUUGAGUGAAGGAGAGGCAGGCGGAAUUCGUAGUGUAGCGGUGAAAUGCGUAGAUAUCAGGAGGAACACCAGUGGCGAAGGCAGCCUGCUGGGCUUUUACUGACGCUGAGGCUCGAAAGUGUGGGGAGCAAACAGGAUUAGAUACCCGUGUAGUC